UGCUCUGGAUUAGGCUUUGGCUUAAGGGAAUAUUGUGGUUGGUUUGAUCUACCCAGACCACUAAAACUUUCCAUAUCGGC
rnacentral:pre_miRNA from 1 species